rnacentral:rRNA from 1 species
ACAGCAGUCGCCACGGUAAUACAGAGGGUGCGAGCGUUAAUCGGAUUUACUGGGCGUAAAGCGUGCGUAGGCGGCUUCUUAAGUCGGAUGUGAAAUCCCUGAGCUUAACUUAGGAAUUGCAUUCGAUACUGGGAAGCUAGAGUAUGGGAGAGGAUGGUAGAAUUCCAGGUGUAGCGGUGAAAUGCGUAGAGAUCUGGAGGAAUACCGAUGGCGAAGGCAGCCAUCUGGCCUAAUACUGACGCUGAGGUACGAAAGCAUGGGGAGCAAACAGGAUUAGAUACCCCUGUAGUCCCUGUCUCUUAUAU